UACCAGCACCCCGAGUGGUCGGGACGAUUAUUGGGCCUAAAGCAUCCGUAGCCGGUUCUACAAGUCUUCCGUUAAAUCCACCUGCUUAACAGAUGGGCUGCGGAGGAUACUAUAGAGCUAGGAGGCGGGAGAGGCAAGCGGUACUUAGUGGGUAGGGGUAAAAUCCGUUGAUCCAGUGAAGACCACCAGUGGCGAAGGCGGCUUGCCAGAACGCACUCGACGGUGAGGGAUGAAAGCUGGGGGAGCAAACCGG
rnacentral:rRNA from 1 species